AAUUUUUUAAUAUAAUAAGUAUAUUUGGCUUCCAACCAAAAAGACUAGGGUAGCUAGAAAAAUUA
rnacentral:tRNA from 1 species